UUCUUGGAUGAGUUGCGAACGGSUGAGUAACGCGUAGGUAACCUGCCUUGUAGCGGGGGAUAACUAUUGGAAACGAUAGCUAAUACCGCAUAACAAUGGAUGACACAUGUCAUUUAUUUGAAAGGGGCAAUUGCUCCACUACAAGAUGGACCUGCGUUGUAUUAGCUAGUAGGUGAGGUAACGGCUCACCUAGGCGACGAUACAUAGCCGACCUGAGAGGGUGAUCGGCCACACUGGGACUGAGACACGGCCCAGACUCCUACGGGAGGCAGCAGUAGGGAAUCUUCGGCAAUGGGGGCAACCCUGACCGAGCAACGCCGCGUGAGUGAAGAAGGUUUUCGGAUCGUAAAGCUCUGUUGUAAGUCAAGAACGAGUGUGAGAGUGGAAAGUUCACACUGUGACGGUAGCUUACCAGAAAGGGACGGCUAACUACGUGCCAGCAGCCGCGGUAAUACGUAGGUCCCGAGCGUUGUCCGGAUUUAUUGGGCGUAAAGCGAGCGCAGGCGGUUUGAUAAGUCUGAAG
rnacentral:rRNA from 1 species